rnacentral:rRNA from 1 species
UACGUAGGGUGCGAGCGUUGUCCGGAAUUAUUGGGCGUAAAGAGCUUGUAGGCGGUUUGUCGCGUCUGCUGUGAAAAUCCGGGGCUCAACCCCGGACUUGCAGUGGGUACGGGCAGAUUAGAGUGUGGUAGAGGAGACUGGAAUUCCUGGUGUAGCGGUGAAAUGCGCAGAUAUCAGGAGGAACACCGAUGGCGAAGGCAGGUCUCUGGGCCACUACUGACGCUGAGAAGCGAAAGCAUGGGGAGCGAACAGG